GUACCUGCUUCGGCAGUACAUAUACUAAAAUUGGAACGAUACAGAGAAGAUUAGCAUGGCCCCUGCGCAAAGGUUACGUCCCACUCAGAACUGUCCUUGCGCAAUUAAU
ensembl:snRNA U6 U6 spliceosomal RNA